AGCUAAUAGAUACCCGGGUAGUCCUGGCAGUAAACGGUGCACGUUUGGUAUGGGCGGCUUUGACUCCGUCCCGUGCCGUAGUUAAAACACGUUAAAAAAACGUGCCGACCUGGGGAAGUACGGUCGCAAGACUAAAACUCAAAGAAAUUGACGGGGACCCGCACAAGCGGUGGAGUAUGUGGCUUAAUUCGAUGCAACGCGAAGAACCUUACCUGGGCUUGACAUGCACUGUGUCGUUGGUGAAAAGCUAGGCCAGCGUAGCAAAUACGCGCUUUUGCACAGGUGCUGCAUGGCUGUCGUCAGCUCGUGUCGUGAGAUGUUGGGUUAAAUCCC
rnacentral:rRNA from 1 species